CAGCCGCCGCGGGAAUACGUAGGUGGCAAGCGUUGUCCGGAAUUAUUGGGCGUAAAGGGCUCGCAGGCGGUUUCUUAAGUCUGAUGUGAAAGCCCCCGGCUCAACCGGGGAGGGUCAUUGGAAACUGGGAAACUUGAGUGCAGAAGAGGAGAGUGGAAUUCCACGUGUAGCGGUGAAAUGCGUAGAGGUGUGGAGGAACACCAGUGGCGAAGGCGACUCUCUGGUCUGUAACUGACGCUGAGGAGCGAAAGCGUGGGGAGCGAACAGGAUUAGAGACCCCUGUAGUCCCUGUCUCUUAUAC
rnacentral:rRNA from 1 species